AUUGAACGCUGGCGGCAGGCCUAACACAUGCAAGUCGAGCGGAAGAAGCGUGCUUGCUCCUGUAUUCAGCGGCGGACGGGCGAAUAAUGCCUAGGAAUCUGCCUGAUAGUGGGGGAUACCGUCCGGAAACGGGCGCUAAUACCGCAUACGCCCUGUGGGAGCAAGGGGAGGAUCCUCGGACCUCACGCUAUCAGAUGAGCCUAGAACGGAUUAGCUAGCUGGUGGGGUAGAGGCCUACCAAGGCGACGAUCCGUACCUGGUCUGAGAGGAUGAGCAGUCACACUGGAACUGAGACACGGCCCAGACUCCAACGGGAGGCAGGAGUGGGGAAUAUUAGACAAUGCGCGAAAGCCUGAUCUAGCCAUGCCGCGUGUGGGAAGAAGGGCUUCGGCUUUUAAAUCUAAUUUGGUUGGGAGGAAGGGCAGUAAGUUGAUCCCUUGCUGUUUUGACGUUACCAACAGAAUAAGCACCGGCUAACUCCGUG
rnacentral:rRNA from 1 species